AUUUUUAUAUACAUGUAUCACAGAAAUUUUACAUUCCAUCUUCAAACCGCAGAAAUAGAUUUUUUUUACAAGCCAAAAAAUAACUGCCAUAACUUUUAUGAUUUCAUGCAAAAAAGAGGGAAGAGUAAGGGGCAAAUGGGAAUUGGUUGUUCAAGGUUAAGAGUCCAAUAAGAAGUAAAAAUGUUACAUUAAGGAAGCGAUUGCUUAACACGCUGCUUAAGGUGGUAGCCAGACAAAUCCUUAACUGCAGCAUUAAGGCCAUACCAAGUUUACACAUAUAUACAAAGGAAUUUCCAUAUAAAAGACAUACUGUCAUGUUUUCUCCUGGAAAAGGACGAGGAGUUUUGUGAGUAAUUCUGACCCAAUUUUCCAGGCCAAUUAAUUGUUUAAGAUGUCCCCAGGCUACUUAGAAAUCUCUUCUGCUUUGGCUAGCUGUCGGUUACUGCUGUGUGGGCUUGUGACUUCUGUAGUCUCUUACGCGGACGCAUGAAUCAUCUUGGACCUCUUCAAUCAUGGGUGAUCAAGCACUUUGUAGCUGAACUAACUCAGCAUAUUUUUUACCUCCCCUCCCAAAAGUACUGAAAUCACAGAAUUAUAACUUGCAGUUGUCUUAGUAGACUCCACAGCCAAUCCUGGCAUUGUGACCUAAAGAAUUACAUGGUACCCUUGUUCUGUUAUUAGGGGUUAAAAUAAUCUUUGAAUAGUUAACAGUAGAAGGAACCAAAGUGUGGGGUUUCAAGUCACAUCCCUUGGAGCUGUUGAAAGUUAAUAUUGAACUUUUGGCCCUCGUGUCAUGACACAUGUAAGUUGGCAGCUACAUUUGUGGAAAAUGUAAAGUCACUUGCAGGAGAAUUAGAACAUGGAAUUUGCUCUUCUGCCUAAACAUCGAAUCAGACAACUUUUAAGACAAAGGGGCCAGAGGAAGGGACAGUGAAGAUCUUUUGCCAUAAUGUCACCCUAUAAACAUUUUGAAGGGAUUCCAUUGAUGUAAAGCAUAAAUACAUCCCUGUUGGGAAAGACAGGAGCAGUGUUUUCUGACUAUAAGGAGGGUUUGUUGGAGCUACCGGCGUGUGGAAGCAAUUUCAGGAACAACGUUGCCAGGAGGUUCUGGCAGAGAGAAUUCAAACAACUGCCAUAGGAAGUGGUUUCGAGCCUUCACAGGACACACAUGUUAAAGUGCCACAGUGGAACCUUGUCCUGGUGUGUGAUGGGAUUCUCAGGUCUCGAGAAGCCCAGUCUUAGAGGCAGGUCCAUCAGUGACUUUCACGGCAAAAAAAUUAAGACUGUAAUCUCCUUGAGGGCCAAGAUUCCUCUUUCUUAACCCCUCCCUACAUGCCCACUGGAAGGCCUGGGAUGGGUUUCCAAGCCUGGCACUGACAUGGAGAAAUAAUGAAACUUUUUAUGUCACACGGUAUACCCUUUCU
rnacentral:lncRNA from 1 species